rnacentral:rRNA from 1 species
CAAUAGCGUAUAUUUAAGUUGCUGCAGUUAAAAAUCUCGUAGUUGGAUUUCGGGUGGGAAUGGCCGGUCCGCCGUUUCGGUGUGCACUUGCUACGCCCACCUUGCUGCCGGGGACGUGCUCUUGAGUUCACGCUCGGGACACGGAGUCGGCGAGGUUACUUUGAGUAAAUUAGAGUGUUCAAAGCAGGCCUACGCUCUGAAUACAUUAGCAUGGAAUAACACGAUAGGACUCUGGCCUAUCUUGUUGGUCUGUAGGACCGGAGUAAUGAUUAAGAGGGACAGUCGGGGGCAUUCGUAUUUCAUUGUCAGAGGUGAAAUUCUUGGAUUUAUGAAAGACGAACUACUGCGAAAGCAUUUGCCAAGGAUGUUUUCAUUAA